UACGUAGGCGGCGAGCGUUGUUCGGAAUUACUGGGCGUAAAGCGCGUGUAGGCGGUGCUCCCAGUCUGUUGUGAAAUCUCCCGGCUUAACUGGGAGGGUGCAGCGGAAACUAGAGUGCUAGAGGGUGGGAGAGGUAAGCGGAAUUCCAGGUGUAGCGGUGAAAUGCGUAGAUAUCUGGAGGAACACCGGUGGCGAAGGCGGCAUCCUGGACCAACACUGACGCUUAUGAGCGAAAGCCAGGGGAGCAAACGGG
rnacentral:rRNA from 1 species